rnacentral:rRNA from 1 species
GCAAGUCGAACGAGAAAGCUCUCUUCAGAGAGUGAGUACAGUGGCGAACGGGUGAGUAACAGGUGGAAAACCUGCCCUUCAAUGGGGGAUAACAGUUCUAACGAGCUGCAAUACCGCAUACGAUCUUUUGGUCGCAUGGCCGAAAGAUGAAAGAUGGCCUCUCUUUGAAGCUGUCGUUGAAGGAUGGUUCCGCCUCCCAUUAGCUUGUUGGUGGGGUAAUGGCCUACCAAGGCGACGAUGGGUAGCCGGCCUGAGAGGGUGAAC